AGCGAACGCUGGCGGCAGGCCUAACACAUGCAAGUCGAACGAACCCUUCGGGGUUAGUGGCGGACGGGUGAGUAACACGUGGGAACGUGCCUUUAGGUUCGGAAUAACUCAGGGAAACUUGUGCUAAUACCGAAUGUGCCCUUCGGGGGAAAGAUUUAUCGCCUUUAGAGCGGCCCGCGCCUGAUUAGCUAGUUGGUGAGGUAAUGGCUCACCAAGGCGACGGUCAGUAGCUGGUCUGAGAGGAUGACCAGCCACAUUGGGACUGAGACACGGCCCAAACUCCUACGGGAGGCAGCAGUGGGGAAUCUUGCGCAAUGGGCGAAAGCCUGACGCAGCCAUGCCGCGUGGAUGAUGAAGGUCUUAGGAUUGUAAAAUCCUUUCACCGGUGAAGAUAAUGACUGUAGCCGGAGAAGAAGCCCCGGCUAACUUCGUGCCAGCCGCCGCAGUAAGAC
rnacentral:rRNA from 1 species